rnacentral:rRNA from 1 species
UGCGUAGGCGGAUUAAUAAGUCAGUGGUGAAAACCUGCAGCUUAACUGCAGACCUGCCAUUGAUACUGUUAGUCUUGAGUACGGUCAAGGUAGGCGGAAUGUGUAAUGUAGCGGUGAAAUGCUUAGAUAUUACACAGAACACCGAUUGCGAAGGCAGCUUACUGGGCCAUUACUGACGCUGAGGCACGAAAGCGUGGGUAGCGAACAGGAUUAGAUACCCUGGUAGUCC